GUCUGACUUGGGGCUCCAUCCCAGAACCCCGAGAUCAUGACCUGAACCAAACCAAGAGUUGGAUGCUUAGCCAACUGAGCCACCCAGGCACCCUUGGGGUUGUGAGUUUGAGCCCCAUGUUGAAUGUAGAAAUUAUUAGAGAGAGGGAUAUGAAUUAUUAAAUAAGUGGCAGUACUGCAUCAGAUAAGAACAUAUGUGGUUACAAGAAGCAAACCCUAUGAUCAAUGGCUUCAUUAACUAGGAGUUUAUAUUUCUCACAUAAUAAGAAAUCCAAGGAUAUAUAAUCCAGGACUAAUAUGGCAACUUAUGUCAUCAAUAACUCAGGCUCGUUUUAUCUUCUUGCUGAGCCAUUUUGGGUGGGUGGCUUUCAUUUUCAUUGUAUCAAGGUAGGUGCUUCAUAUUAGGUAUUACAUCUAGAUUCCUAGCAGAAAGAAAGGUGAAAGAGGCCAAAAUGAUCAUGUCAGUCAAAGUUGCCCUUAUUUAGAAAUGGCACUCCAUGACUUCCCCUUAUAUCUUGAUACAGAGCUGCAUCCCUUGGACACCCUUGCUGCAAGAGUCUGGGAUGCUAUUUUAAGCUGGGCACAUUACUGCUCUAAACAAAGUCACAGUUCUGUUAGUAAAGGGAAAAUGGAUGCCAGGUAGGUAAAUAGCAGUGUCUUAGAAAGACAUGGCAGGCCACUUGGAAAAAUACAAAGCUGGAUCUGCACCUCACUUUUUAUGCCAAAUUACAGAUCUAUCAAAUAUUUUAAAAACAAAAGCCAGAAAAAAAAAAACAGGAUUUAAUUUUUCAUAGAAUUCUUUGAGAAAUUAGGGUUUUCAAAGCAUGAUGGCAUAAAACACAAAAACCAAAAAGGAAGAGAUUAAGAAAUUGGCUACAUGGCAUUUAAAAUGAUUCUAUAAAUAAGGAUAGUGGCUCGGUUAAGCGUUUGCCUUAGGCUUAGGUCAUGAUCCCUGGGUCUUGGGAUCAAGGUGUGUCCGGGCUUCCUGUUCAGUCAGGAACUGAGCACUCCCUGCUUGUAUGUUCUCUCUCUCAAGUAAAUAAAAUCUUAAAAAAAAAAAAAAAAAAGGAUAAAUUACAAGUUGAGGAGAAAUGUUUAGAAGACUUACAUAAACAAAUGACUAAUUUCCUUAAUAAAAAAAAUUAACUGGUAAUUUAAAAUGUUCAAAGGACAUAUAAGGGCAAUUAUGUAUUAUGUAAUAUGUAAUGGUAAAAGAAUAUAAUUAAAAUGAGCAGGGGAUAUAAAUGAGCAAUCCAAGAGGGGAGAAAUGAUUUAAAAAUAAGACCAAUGCAUAUGUACAAAUGCACAAAUUUAUUUGUGAUUAAAUGCAGUUUAAACAGUGGCAACAUUGGCCCCUCUGAUUGCCUAAGCUUAAAAAGAUUGGUAAUAUCCAGUUAGUUCAGAUUAUGCACAGAUCUGAUUUAACUGAUAAACAUGAGCAUGGCUGUCUAAAUUGCUGAAAUAUUGAAAUGCAUGCUACCAUUGGUAAGUAGUAUUACUGUUACUACAUUAGCACUGAAGUUAAUUAGGUAAAUCCUGGUAGAGGUUUAUUAGUUCUAUUGUGACAUUCAUUGGUAAUGGACCUUUUGUUGUAAUGGCAUAGGAGAAACAUUUGCAACAUUGUUUAGCGUGGUCUUUGUCUUGGUAAAUAAUGUUGCUACAUUUUGCUUUACCUGUGAAACUUUACAUGCCCCAACAAUUGCUACUUCUAAAUAGUUUGUUUUUAAUUUUUUACUUUUAGUGUAUUGUAAUUCUUAGGCGAAAAGUAAAUACAUUUAGCAUUUUAAAAUAGGAGAAUUUAU